GUACUAAAAAACAUGUAAUUAGCACAAAGAUGAAAAUAAAGUUUAGCAAAGAGUGGCGAAGAACAAACUGGUAUUCCCGCCAACAAUAACAAUAGCGAGAGUGCAGGGGCGCAUGGGUAUGGUCGUUUAGUAGCGAGUAGAAGAAGAGUAGAAUGGGUCAAAUCAUGCAUCCUCAUCUUAGCUGGAAUGGCUGCCGUCAUUUUAGGAUUUCCUCUGAAUCUGUCCACCCACACCCUCUCUCUCUCUCUCCCCUCAAUUUGCUUCAAUCAUUCUCGCUCAGCGCCUGCCGCUUUCUCUGUCUACAAUUUUAUAGAAUCAAACAGAUCUAAAAAGUGAUUAGGGGAGAAGGGGAGGGAAACAUGAACGAGAAGGCCUCCGUCUCUAAGGAGCUUAAUGUCAAGCAUACCAAGAUUUUAGAGGGUCUUCUUAAGCUGCCAGAGAAUAGGGAAUGUGCAGAUUGCUGGAACAAGGCCCCACGAUGGGCGAGUGUGAACCUUGGAAUAUUUAUAUGCAUGCAAUGUUCGGGAAUUCAUCGAAGUCUUGGAGUACAUAUAUCGAAGGUAAGGUCUACUACUUUGGAUACAUGGCUACCAGAGCAGGUUGCAUUUAUGCAAUCUAUGGGUAAUGAGAAGUCGAACCGUUAUUGGGAAGCAGAACUACCACCAAAUUUUGACAGAAGUGGAAUUGAGAAAUUUAUCCGUGCCAAGUAUGAGGAGAAGAAAUGGGUUGCACAGAAUGCAACACAACCAACUCCAAAACCAGGUGAAAUGAGCUCUAAUCUGGACAAGUUUCUAGAAGGUGGAGCCAGAUCUGGCAUUCCAAAUAAAACAAGGAGGCUUUCUCUUGAGGAGGAGAUUCUUACUAAUCACCUUGCACAAGUUACUCAUCCAGUAACAAGAUACCGUGGGAGUUCUUUAGAUAUGAAGAACAAGAUCAAUAUUUCCCCACCAAAGGGAUCACCACUGAUAACAGAAUUUGAUACAUCCGCAACAAAGACCAAUGGUCCAACAGAUCUUUUCAGCUUGCUUCAUGUCCCUGAUGGAAAACAGGAUUGCUCUACUGUACCUCCACGCUGGGCAACUUUCGAUUGAGAAAAUCCAUCUGCAUAAAUCCCUUGGAAUUAUUAUUCUAUUACCAGUUGGAUUAGAAGUCACUAGUUUACCGAAUGAAGUGGAGAGCAUAUGCUCCUAUCAAAAACGAAGGAGUGAAGAUAAGGGAGAUGAUUUGUAGUGGCCAUGAGGAUUGAUGUGCCAAUAAUCUCUGCUUCACCAUCUAGCUAUUGCAGCAAUCUGAGUAGUACUUAUAAGAAUUAAUUCAGAAGCAAUUUAGAAUAGGCCACCCAUAUUUGAGGUUCCUAUUUUAAGUCACCCUUUGUUUUGGUUUUAUGUUUGUUCACUUCUGCUGCAACAAAGUUAUUCGAGUAAACUUUCUAGUCAUUGUACAAAUUUCAAUAUUUAUAGCGUUUGGAUUUUGAA